rnacentral:rRNA from 1 species
GAUGAACGCUGGCGGCGUGCUUAACACAUGCAAGUCGAACGGAAAGGCCCAAGCUUGCUUGGGUGCUCGAGUGGCGAACGGGUGAGUAACACGUGGGUGAUCUGCCCUGCACUUUGGGAUAAGCCUGGGAAACUGGGUCUAAUACCGGAUAGGACCAUCGUUUAGUGUCGGUGGUGGAAAGUUUUUCGGUGUGGGAUGAGCUCGCGGCCUAUCAGCUUGUUGGUGGGGUAAUGGCCUACCAAGGCGUCGACGGGUAGCUGGCCUGAGAGGGUGUACGGCCACAUUGGGACUGAGAUACGGCCCAGACUCCUACGGGAGGCAGCAGUGGGGAAUAUUGCACAAUGGGCGCAAGCCUGAUGCAGCGACGCCGCGUGGGGGAUGACGGCCUUCGGGUUGUAAACUCCUUUCGCCAAGGACGAAGCGUUUUGUGACGGUACUUGGAGAAGAAGCACCGGCUAACUACGUG